UGUCAGCUGGCUGAAUCUAGGAACAGGGUGAUCUGCAGUGGUAGUGCACAACUCCUCCCAGGUAGUUCCUAUGGGCUUGAGAGCUGGCCAGGUGACACACUCUUCCCGACAGCUGCAGAAACAUGUCCAACAUGCAGGAAUCCAGACAAGCUGCAGCAACUGAGGCACUAGCUGCAUGAGGGAGUGAAAGCUGCAAGAAUGGAGAAAGCAGCAUAGAGAACGGUCCUGUUUCUGUCAGGACAUUGCCGAUAUUGCCCCACCUGCAGGCCUAAGCGAUAGAUCUGCUGCUGUCUGUCAAGUCAAUGAAUAAGUCAGGAUCUUGGUAAACGGAUUCCCAUGAAAACCUUUUUUACAUAAAGAAUGGUACCAGACAGGAAUACCCUUUGUCAAAUCUGUCUUGUCCCGGACAUCAAAAGGUGUCCUAAUUGGUGUGGAAGAAUAAGAGAAGUAUUUUUGCUGAUAAUGAACUCUUACCAUUAAUCAUCCCCUAUACAUCCAUACGCAUCCUCAUACAGAUCCUUGCUACAUAUAUGGUGCUCACUCUGCAUAAUGAAACGGUCUAAUACAGCAUCUUCUUCAUCUGCAACCCUGGAUCCUGGGUCUCCUGUACCGCAAUUGUAACUUCUCCCAUUGCACCUGCAAAGUUAAAUACUCAGGUGGUGCUUCUAGUUAUUAAGACUCCCUCUAACAUGACAAUUUUCCCUUCCUACUUAAAUCAAUGAAAUUGAAUCUUCUUAGAUGGUAAAAAUGAAUAAUCUCCUGACUAGGUAAAAUAGUGGUCAUUGAGAUUAACCUCAUGCCCCAACUGCUUUAUCUCUUCCAGACCCACGUAAAGGUGUCAUAGUAUACUUUAACCCAAUUACACAGAUGUUGGUAUGGAGACUCAGUCCAUCCUAUUCAAGCUUCUUCAAAAUCCUACGUGCUACCACCAAUGGCAGAAUAUUUUAAGAUGUCAGUCUUUAUUAAUUGGAUCAUAAUGCUGUCUCAAGUCAAGUUGUAACCAGAGUGCAAGCCCUGCAAUGGGUAUAUCUGGAGGCCAACUCCUGCAAUAUUUCUCCUGUCAUCAAUUAUUGUUGCCGCAGCUACCCUGAGUCCCGCCUUGGCAUGGGUCCUCAAUGUCAUGUCUUCUCAUUACUCAUUUGGAACUAUUGAAUAACACACUAUGACACUACCUCUUCUCCCUACCCUAUCAGCCCAUUCUAGCAGUUUUACCCCUAGGACACCGUUCAUCUUGCUUGUGCUUAGGAAUUGAGAAUGUUGUUAGGGUGGUAUCGGAUACUCUUGACUUUACAACUAAAACUUGAAAUCCCAACCAUCAGGCUGCCAAGUUUUCUGCUGUUAAAUACUAAAAGGAAGACAGAAUUCCUUUAAUGAGUGCUAAA